UUGAACGCUGGCGGCAGGCCUAACACAUGCAAGUCGAGCGGUAACACAGAGAGCUUGCUCUCGGGUGACGAGCGGCGGACGGGUGAGUAAUGUCUGGGAAACUGCCUGAUGGAGGGGGAUAACUACUGGAAACGGUAGCUAAUACCGCAUAACGUCGCAAGACCAAAGUGGGGGACCUUCGGGCCUCAUGCCAUCAGAUGUGCCCAGAUGGGAUUAGCUAGUAGGUGGGGUAACGGCUCACCUAGGCGACGAUCCCUAGCUGGUCUGAGAGGAUGACCAGCCACACUGGAACUGAGACACGGUCCAGACUCCUACGGGAGGCAGCAGUGGGGAAUAUUGCACAAUGGGCGCAAGCCUGAUGCAGCCAUGCCGCGUGUGUGAAGAAGGCCUUCGGGUUGUAAAGCACUUUCAGCGGGGAGGAAGGCGGUGAGGUUAAUAACCUCAUCGAUUGACGUUACCCGCAGAAGAAGCACCGGCUAACUCCGUGCCAGCAGCCGCGGUAAUACGGAGGGUGCAAGCGUUAAUCGGAAUUACUGGGCGUAAAGCGCACGCAGGCGGUCUGUCAAGUCGGAUGUGAAAUCCCCGGGCUCAACCUGGGAACUGCAUUCGAAACUGGCAGGCUAGAGUCUUGUAGAGGGGGGUAGAAUUCCAGGUGUAGCGGUGAAAUGCGUAGAGAUCUGGAGGAAUACCGGUGGCGAAGGCUGCCCCCUGGACAAAGACUGACGCUCAGGUGCGAAAGCGUGGGGAGCAAACAGGAUUAGAUACCCUGGUAGUCCACGCCGUAAACGAUGUCGAUUUGGAGGUUGUGCCCUUGAGGCGUGGCUUCCGGAGCUAACGCGUUAAAUCGACCGCCUGGGGAGUACGGCCGCAAGGUUAAAACUCAAAUGAAUUGACGGGGGCCCGCACAAGCGGUGGAGCAUGUGGUUUAAUUCGAUGCAACGCGAAGAACCUUACCUGGUCUUGACAUCCACAGAACUUUCCAGAGAUGGAUUGGUGCCUUCGGGAACUGUGAGACAGGUGCUGCAUGGCUGUCGUCAGCUCGUGUUGUGAAAUGUUGGGUUAAGUCCCGCAACGAGCGCAACCCUUAUCCUUUGUUGCCAGCGGUUAGGCCGGGAACUCAAAGGAGACUGCCAGUGAUAAACUGGAGGAAGGUGGGGAUGACGUCAAGUCAUCAUGGCCCUUACGACCAGGGCUACACACGUGCUACAAUGGCAUAUACAAAGAGAAGCGACCUCGCGAGAGCAAGCGGACCUCAUAAAGUAUGUCGUAGUCCGGAUUGGAGUCUGCAACUCGACUCCAUGAAGUCGGAAUCGCUAGUAAUCGUAGAUCAGAAUGCUACGGUGAAUACGUUCCCGGGCCUUGUACACACCGCCCGUCACGCCAUGGGAGUGGGUUGCAAAAGAAGUAGGUAGCUUAACCUUCGGGAGGGCGCUUACCACUUUGUGAUUCAUGACUGGGGUG
rnacentral:rRNA from 1 species